AAGAUUAGUGMUGCVGUGMAACGGGGAGUGGGWUGAGUAAUAUAUGCCCUUAUGACUGGGUAAAAGUGCUAAAUGGMAAUAMAAGGGUUGCGAGACCGCGAGGUGGAGSGAAUCCAUAAAAUUGUUCUCAGUUCGGAUUGCAGGCUGCAACUCGCCUGCAUGAAGCCGGAAUCGCUAGUAAUCGCGGAUCAGCAUGCCGCGGUGAAUACGUUCCCGGGCCUUGUACACACCGCCCGUCACACCACGAGAGUUUGUAACACCCGAAGUCGGUGGGGUAACCGUAAGGAGCCAGCCGCCUAAGGUGGGACAGAUGAUUGGGGUGAAGUCGUAACAAGGUAGCCGUAUCGGAAGGUGCSGCUGGAUCACCKSCG
rnacentral:rRNA from 1 species